rnacentral:tRNA from 1 species
ACUUAGGUAGUUUAAUCAAAAAUUUUGAUUUGUGGUGUCAAGGAUACAAGAAUCUAUAUCUUGUCUUAGGUC